AUCAGCUGAAGGCUCUCGCCUGGGACUCCUCCGAAGCAUGAGCAAGCCGCCACCACGCGAAGGCACUGGGGCACAGCCAGCGAGAGGCGACAAGGUCCCUUCCCAGGGCUUGUUAACACUGUAACCGGGCGCUCAGAGAGCAGCGGCUCCCACUGCCCAAGCCUGCCUCGCCGCCCAUCCGAUGACUCCUGGCUUCUGCACACAGUUGGAGUUCAGCCGGCAACCUGGAUUUAGAGGGGUCCGCUCGCUGCCAUGACACUCAAUCAAAGCACCUAGAGUGAGCUGGUCAUGACCAGAGUCCGCAUGAAGCAGAGCAAAUACCAAGGAGAGCGCUGGGUGACCACCAGAAUUGGAAAUAGAACAGCCAUUUGGAAGAUCUGGGCAGGAAGCAAUAGAGCACAGCUUUGGAGCCUUCUUUAGGGAAAUCGAGUUAUGGAUUUAUGGUCCCGGUCAAGCUCAGCCCAGCCCUAGCCAGGGGCGGGCUCCGCAGCAAGAGUUCUUUCUGGCGGCGGCGGCGGUGGCGGCAGCGGCAGCGGCAGCAGUGACAGCGGUAGCAGAGGCAGAGGCAGCGGCAGCUUGGCCCUCUGACUCUCUUCGGUGACGGGUAUUCUUGGGUGGAUAAUACGGAUUACGUUGUUAUUGCUUAAGAAUACGCGUAGUCGAGGAGAGUACCAGCGGCAGGCGGGCAGCGGCCGCCCCUCCCAGCCCACCAGCUGGCCACUAAAAGCUCCCGGUUGCCAAGAAGUGUGAGCGAGUAAUUUUGCUGGAUGUCCACGUAUUUCAGUUGAGCCAUUUGAAGACAUUAGGAGUGGGGUUAUUGAAGCCCUCCCUUGCUCUAGGACAAUGCAAGCCUGCCUCUGUGUUCACCACAGUAACAGGGAUUCUAUUUAGUGCUCAAUGCUGAUGAACCAGAAUGGAGGUCUGAGAGUUUGUGUGACAGGUAGAAUGGAGAGGCACCUCAUCUCUGAAGACGUGAUUCAAGUUGUUACACUUGCAUAGUGGGAAUGGUACAGGCUAUGCAGGAGACAUGAUUAUAGAGUGGCUUGGAAGAUGAUCUUUUUUAGACAAUCCAGAGCCUGAACCCCUGCUCCCUCCUCUCUGCUGUGUAUGUCAUCUUGGCAGGAGUCUUGGAGCUCCUUCCUACGACUUAACAAGAACUGACUGUGUGCAUCAUCACCCUAACCUCACGCCCCAUGGCAACCCAGCAGUGGACCACACAGAGCAGAGGUGAUUUAGAGCAUCGCGACUGACAAUUCCAAAUUAGGCAAAUCAGAGCUUCAUUUCUCCUGUGUUACUUCAGCAUCCAACGGCUGGAGGUUGCCAACAUUUCCUACCUUUUUCAGUCUUCCUCCUUUAUUGGAAAAGAAACAGAAUGACAGUUCUCUCUGCAUAAAAUUGUGCAGGCCUUUCAAUAGAUAGUAUAUUUCAUGUUUCCUGUAUGUCGCAAACAUCAAUCUCAUAACUCUUAUAAUUUAAUUCAGCGUGUUCUACAGAACUGUGAACACUUUUGCAAUUCUAAUGCACUAGAAAGCAUUUCAAUUAGUUCAUCACAAUUCCAGGGGAAGGGGAUUCUGUAAAAAUAAUUUUACAGAUGAUUUUACAGGUGAGAUGUUUUCCUCUAAGUAUUAUUAGAAAGUUCUAAAGGCAACCUGCAAUUACUAAAUUGUCUAUUAAAUUCAUAUAUGUAUAUAUGCAUUCAA
rnacentral:lncRNA from 1 species